UCGAGCGGUACAUUUCUAGCUUGCUAGAAGAUGACGAGCGGCGGACGGGUGAGUAAUGCUUGGGAACAUGCCUUGAGGUGGGGGACAACAGUUGGAAACGACUGCUAAUACCGCAUAAUGUCUACGGACCAAAGGGGGCUUCGGCUCUCGCCUUUAGAUUGGCCCAAGUGGGAUUAGCUAGUUGGUGAGGUAAUGGCUCACCAAGGCGACGAUCCCUAGCUGGUUUGAGAGGAUGAUCAGCCACACUGGGACUGAGACACGGCCCAGACUCCUACGGGAGGCAGCAGUGGGGAAUAUUGCACAAUGGGCGCAAGCCUGAUGCAGCCAUGCCGCGUGUGUGAAGAAGGCCUUCGGGUUGUAAAGCACUUUCAGUCAGGAGGAAAGGUUAGUAGUUAAUACCUACUAGCUGUGACGUUACUGACAGAAGAAGCACCGGCUAACUCCGUGCCAGCAGCCGCGGUAAUACGGAGGGUGCGAGCGUUAAUCGGAAUUACUGGGCGUAAAGCGUACGCAGGCGGUUUGUUAAGCGAGAUGUGAAAGCCCCGGGCUCAACCUGGGAACUGCAUUUCGAACUGGCAAACUAGAGUGUGAUAGAGGGUGGUAGAAUUUCAGGUGUAGC
rnacentral:rRNA from 1 species